AUUGAACGCUGGCGGCAGGCCUAACACAUGCAAGUCGAACGAGUGGCGGACGGGUGAGUAAUGUCUGGGAAACUGCCUGAUGGAGGGGGAUAACUACUGGAAACGGUAGCUAAUACCGCAUACCAUCAGAUGUUCCCAGAUGGGAUUAGCUUGUUGGUGGGGUAACGGCUCACCAAGGCGAAGAUCCCUAGCUGGUCUGAGAGGAUGACCAGCCAAACUGGAACUGAGACAAGGUGCAGAAUCCUAAGGGAGGGAGCAGUGGGGAAUAUUGCACAAGGGGCGGAAGCCUGAUGCAGCCAUGCCGGGUGUAUGAAGAAGGCCUUCGGGGUGGAAAGGACUUUUCGCGGGGAGGCGUUACCCGGAGAAGAAGCACCGGCUAACUCCGUGCCAGCAGCCGCCGUAAUUC
rnacentral:rRNA from 1 species